GUCCUCGUGGUGCAGUCCGGAGUGCACGCCGCCCUGUCACGGCGGAGAUCGUGGGUUCAAAUCCCAUCGGGGACG
rnacentral:tRNA from 1 species